AUGCCAUGGAGAGUGUUCCCAGAAAGGCACGAAAGACAGUUGGUGUCAGGAGCUGAACCUGCCUGCUUUCUGAAGACUUCUGUGACAACAAGGCACAUUUGCAGAAGUGCAUUCCAUUUCAAAGUAUCUGGGAUCUUAGUGUGGCUGCAAAGACACAAUACAAGGUAGGAGUCUCUAACUGUACUCGACAAGAAAAUAGUGUCCUCAGAAUCAGACUCACGGACAGAUGGGUGGGGACGAGAUACAAAACACAUCUUCACAAUCUGGAGCAAUGACAUUUAAUAAAGUGAUUAGGCAGUGACAUUAAAUAAGUUCUC
rnacentral:lncRNA from 1 species